CUGCGCCCCGCCAAGCGCAUGUGUGGAAAGACUGGCAAGCCUUCAGUCCAAGCGAGUGGGUGAAGCAGCCAGCAGCACUGCUCUAAGAAGUGCUGUGCCUGCUCCGAGGAGAUUUCAGAUCUCUUGUUUUAACACUGACCAAGACCUGCAUGGACCUAACAUUCGAUGAUCAUUCAGUAUUAAAGGUUAAACUGCAAUAGAGACUGUAGUUUGCUUUCUGUAGUACUCUCUUUAAAGGGAAAAAAAAAAAAGUGGGAGGGAGGCUUUUGGGAGGCUGAGGAGAAAAAAAUGAACUAUGCUGGCUGCCUUCACUUAAAUUGUGUAUGUACAUAUCUUUUUUUUUUUUAUUAUUAUUAUUUUAUGAAAGCUGAUUAAUGUCAAUAAACUACUUCAUGACUUUGUAAGUUAUUUUUAUGUUGUUUAUUUGGGGUCUGCCCAGUAUUGUUUUGUAAAUAAGACAGAGUUUCUUCCCCAAGCACCCUGAAUUUGCAGUUUGUAAUAAAAGUAUAAUUUUCUCUUAUGCUUUUGCUUCUGGAAAAGAAUCCCAGAAAAAUUCUGUUUAUAUUUUAGGAACUUGUUUUUAAAAAUGCAUUUCCCUUCUCCCCCUCCCCAGUACCUAGAUCAGGACAGUAUCCUGUAUCCCAAACUCUAAGGGGUAAGACUGAUGUUCAACUUACUCUAUAACAACAGACAUCUGAGGAAUGUGUCAAAGUGGGGAUACAAAACCAAUGCUGUAAUAUAAACAGAUGUGGUUUUUGCAUCUUUAUUUAUUGCCUUUAUGUGGUCUGGAUUGGCUACCAUAAUCCAGUAGCAGUUUGGACAGUACAUUAAAAAAAGUGAAGCAGGCUGGAGGAAUCUGCUGUUGUAUCGAACUGUCCUGUGCUGAAAUAGUGUGAACUGUAACUGGCUAUUUAAUGUUAGAUGCUUCUUAGUAAACUAGUGUCCUCAACAACAUACUUAAAAUAGGAGAUUUAAAAAAAUGUAUCCUUCACAUGGAACUCGUCACCUCAUUUCUUUUUGUCUAACUAUUCCUAGAUAAAAGGUGAUCUCUGUUCAUAAGUAUUUAUGACAAUGCUGUUGUCACAAUAAAAUCAUUCUAUAACCCUUUCCCUAUCUCUACUUCCUUUCCCUUUCAGAUGCUUUUGAUUGUAUACUUAUUUAUCCAUAUGAAAAGUGGGUAAAGCUAACAGUGAGGAAACCUUUUAUUUCUACAUUGAAAAUUAGGGUGUAAAUAAAAAGCAAGGCAUUUAGGGAGGAUUUUUCUUUUUCAAAAAAGACAUUAUUAUGACAACAGCUUACCUGUCAUUGUCAGUGUGCAUGUAAAAUAAUUUAUAGACUAAAAAUACAAGCAACAACUGAGAAACAAGGUACUUAAUAGUUCUGAAAAAAAACCGUGCAUGCUUGUGGAAAAUAGUAAUAUUUAUCAUUCACUAUUUUCAACAUACUGAUUCUGUGUCCAAUUAAUUUUAACAAUACAAUCUGUUUUAUAUAAAUGCAUUUAGAGUGGGAGGGGGGUUGGAGCCACAUAGCUAAGAGGUAACAGAUGCUGAGGGGAGAGAGGCAGAAUGAAAAAUCAUUAAUACAUUAAUUUAUAAUUCUGUUUAGUCCAUCUUAAAAGUCUCAUCUUUUUAAAGUUAUAACACUUGUAAGAAAACACAGUACUUAGCAAAAUGUCAGCCAAAAUCAUUCAUAAUAAACACAUAUGUUAACUAGUAACAAAACUUGGAUACCCAGAAACUUUUUGUAACUACUUUCUCUCAGGAUAGUAGUUCCUUUAUAGUAGUAUACAGUAGUAGUGUACGUUAGUCCCCUUUGAUGAGUGAUUCUUUUGGCCCACGAUAUAACUUGUGGGAUAUGAAUCAUUUCAUAGAGUAGAUUGUUUUAAAGUUUGAGUUAUAGUAACAUUACUUCCCUGAUAAUAUAUGUGCUGGAGUUGGGAUUACUGUGUUUAGAUUUUAUUUGCUGUUGUCAAAUGCAUAAAAUUGUGACAACACUUACCAAACAAAGGGUUACUGGGAGGAUACUGUAAUUUGCCAAGAGUACAUUUUGCUGAUGUCAGCAACCCGGAAGGUAAGUUGAUUUUGACCAUAUGUAGGAAUAGUCAGCAGAGGGAUAACACACAGCACUGCUGGGGUGUGGCUUUGCAGGGCUUUGACAAGUGCCAACUAGCAAAAUAAGCAGGGCAAGGAGAUUAAUUACCUGCAAAGGUAGAGGUUUAACUCUUGACAGUGCUGUGCUAUAGACCAUAUUAACAAGGAUCUCGCUUAACCAUCUAAGCGUUGUUUGUGUUUUUGGAAACACAUUCCUAGAAGAUUGUUUUAAUUAGAUGCAGCUGAACGACAAAUGGCUCCACCCUGUCACCAUAACAUACAUUCACCACUGCAGUCAUGAAGUGUUCCAGCUCGCACAAAUGACAUUUUCAGGAAAAAGUUGGUUAGUAGUACAGCAGCUAAUGAAAGUGGGCACUAUUGGAUGGUUGUUCAUUGGCCUCUAUGAAAUAAGUUGCUGCUUUCAACAAUAUGGGAAGUACAGGGAUGUCCAUGUUAGAAAAUCCACAUCAUAACUGGCACUAAUUACCUUUCUUGCCAGCACUGUCACCACAAGGUGAAGGGUGGAAGGAGGAACGAGGCACAAAAACAGUCAGAAAGGCAAGCUCUGUCCAACUCAGAGGAAAGAGGAUAGUUCAUUCAUACCACGGGAACAAGUAGAGAAUCAUCCUCCUUAUUACUUUCUGUGAAGCUCAUCACUGCAGUACGUAAGCACCUGACAUGCAUUCAUGAAUUUAGUCUCACAACGUCUCCAAGGUAGGGAAUUGUUCUUUUCCCUAUUUUGCACAUGGGAAGACUAAAGAAGAGAGCAUUCAAUGAUUUGCCCAAGGUGACACAGACAGUCUUUGGCAAAACUGGAAAGUCUCUUAGUUCCCCUCAUUGCAACAACUGCAUUUUUUCCUAAAGGCAGGUACUGCAUUAUGGAUUUCUUCACCUGGAAACCAGCUGCAUCUGUGUAACUCAAAUUGCUAAAUAAAAAU